rnacentral:lncRNA from 10 species
AUAAGAGUUGCUGAAAGUUACUUCACAAUUCUAUCCCUAGCCCAUUGGAUGUUGGUUUCUGCUUCUACUGUCUUGCUGAAACUUGUCUUAAAUGUCAUCAAAAACUGCCCAGUUGCCAAAAUCAUCAGCUUGUUUCUUGGUUUAUUUCAUUCCAUCUUUGUUUCCACUGAUAAUUCCUAUCCAGUUAGGAUUCAUAGCUUUUCUUCUUUGUGUUCACAGCAUGUCACAACAAUCUUGAGACUUUGAACAGCACGUGUCUCACACUCCUGUAUAUAUUUACCCAGCAUUAUAUCUUACUAGGUUUGUUUUGUUCUUCUACCUCAAAUAAACUCUUAUGCAUCCUGGUUUGACAUCACCAUCUUGGUCACCACUUCCUCUCUGCUCCUCUCAACACUGCCCAAGAAGUCUUAUCACUGUACCACAAGAUCCCUGGGGGUGUGAGGUUCCUCUUCUACUUUCAUCGAUUUUACCUUAAGAAUAAACUGAUGCAUCUUUUUGUCCUUUUCUCUUCUUAGAGAGCAGGAGAAGAAGAAACAAAUGAACUUCUUUAUUAAUUUUUAUGCUGCCAGGCUUAGAAUAAGUAUUUCUGAGAUAUAUUAGAGAUUUCUAAAACAUUUGCUUGUUUUCUACUCAAAACAACCACUUAUACAAUAUUCCUUUUUGCUCUACCAAGGAUAAAUUUCACUUACUAAGAAUCUCAGGCCUACAUAUUCUUCCUGAGAAUCAGAUUCACCAUGCACCAAUUACUCUAUCUCCUGCUUGAGUUCCAUGACACAGAACUCUCACAGAACAAGUUAAGGGAAGCAACUUCAUUACUCAUACAUAGGCAGCAGGGAACAAUAGAAGCACAGGAUUUACGGCAAGCUGAUCCCCCAAGUCUCAGGAAAGUUUCUGAGGGUGGAUGGAGUCUUGUCUGCAAAUACCCCACAUCUCACUGCAGCUAAGGAAACCUGAAAACCCAAUACCUUGGGUUUUAUAUCCCGGGGCAAUUGCACUCACUGGGCUAAAGCAUUGUAGGUCAUUCUGUGGUGGGAGGGACAGAAAUGAAGCCCAACCAGUUCCUCUUUAUCUCAGAAUGUUGCAUUUCCAGCACAUUCUGCAGUUAUUCUUGAGAACUGUAAGCAAGAAAGGGGGAAAAAGCUGGGUCACCAAGGUCCAUCCAGAGACCUGUCCUGCACUUCCCUGUCUACUUCAGAUGUUGUCACUUAUGUCUCUAAAACAGAGCCCCUUAGAACAUAAAGGCUUUUGACAUAAGACAUUUUCUGGAAGUAAAACUGGCUUCUCAAAAUUUGUCAAAAGUCAAUACAAAACCUUCUGUGCCUGCUUUAGUGUGCUAGAAUUGCCACAUUUGCUGCACCAGGAAAAGGAAUCUUUUAACUCAUUGUUUACCAUUCUUAUUAUGAAAACAGCACAUAGCACGCAUGAUAAAAGAAUUAUUAGCAAAAUAUAAAGUAAAUUAACAUUGAAUAUUUCCACUGAUGUCUGCCUGUAUAUGUGGUACUGUCUAUAUACUUCCAUGAAAAUCAACUAUUGCUUAAAGGUUGAGGCUUAUAUGUAGACCUUAGAAACUGCAUUGUGGUUUUCCUCUUCCUUCUGAACCCAUCUAUCUUCUUUCUUUUGGAAAUUCCCCACCAAUUCAAGGGUAUUUCUUAUGUAUUACUUUACUAAAUCAAAUUAAUAAACAAUCCAGGAAAAUCCUUUAUGCAGCCAUUUGUUCUUUAUGUUUUCUUUGUCUGAUUUUUAAAAUAAUAUAAUCUGCUUUGAAAUUUUCAUCAGGAUCAUGAAGAUUAUUUGAUCCAAACACUGUUCUGAAAAUGCAAUUUCUAAGAAGCUUAAAUAACCCAUGCAUAAUAGAGAGAAAAAAACCACCCGAAUAUGAUGUUUCCUCUC